GAAUAAGACGAAUGAUCAAACGUAUCUCAAAAAGUCAACGACGUCAUAUAUUAAAAAAACGGAGGAAGUAGUUUUUCUUUCACUUGUGACACCCUAAUGCCCCUUUUCUAGCUGGCUGCGAGGAUUUUGAACCUUUUUGUUCUUUGAUGUCAGGUAUGGGAGUGAUGCCCUGAUUUACCAACCUACUCCUAUGCAUAUUUUCUUCUCUUUUACUUUUAGGAUACGAUGGAUAACGAAUCAACCGACCGUUACAAAUGGGUCUUCAUUUAUACUAGUUAUUACUUCAUCUAUUUCGCAAUGCAAGACUUUCUAGCAUUAUCCACAUUCAUAUAGACGUUAAUGAAUCUACACAUAUAUGUGUGCUUAGAUUCAUUAAUAUCUUUAUGAAUGUAGACAAUGCUAGAAAGUCUUACAUUAUGAAAUGGAGGGAGUACAUCUACAACCAACUUUUCUUUUCUUCUGCGCCUAGCUAAUAUUUGCAGGGGCAAGCAUAAUCAGAUAGCAACAGAAGCCAAGAGGAACGCUGCAUUCUUCAUAUUUUUCAGAAUUGUCCGACUAGGGCCAGCUGUGCAACUACAUUCUUGUUGACAGAUCUGCUGGUACGGAAUAGAUUGGCUUACACAGAUCUCGGAUCCAAUGCAUGUGCUAUUAAUUAAGCAAGUUAAGAACUGUAACCUCACCAGGAUUCAGGAUCAGAGAGAUUAAGGACACAACCUGGAGGCUGGAGGAAGAAGCAAUUCAUGCAAGAAAAGAGGGGAGAUGUUGCAUACAAUGUGUACCAGGGGAAAAAAAGGAGAGUACGACUUUUACAUGGAUGUUGUCUUUUUUCAUUUCCUGUGGAAGCAGAAGCAAACCGAUGCAAUUGAGUUGGAGUAAGCCGAUGGUUGUGACAGCUGAUCUCUACUCCCUCCGUUCCAUAAUGUAGCAAUCUAGGAUGGGUCGGACUACGAAUCUGGAUGUCUCAUGUCCAGAUUCGUAGUCCUAGGAUGGGUCUCAUUCUAUCCUAGGUUGCUACAUUGUAGGACGGAGGGAGUAUCUGUUUAGGACAGGACUGAUCCCUCAUUGCCAUUUCCUUUUUUCCCCCUUUUAACAUGACCCAGUUGCAGGGGCUACAUACAGCAGGAGCAACAGCAAUGUCAGAUUUGCUCCCCUGCCGUGACACAAUUCUGAUCAAGUGGAGAAAACUUGCAUAGUGAAAGGGAGAGGUCAGAGGUGGAACUGUGGCUGUGGGUGUGGCUGGUAUUUGAUCUGCCGCAGAUACGUGGGUCCAAUGAUGUCGACUGUAGUUUCGAUCAGCUUGAUAAGGUGUGCCAUUUGAAGCCAUCUCCCUCAACUCAACGUGCCCACUAAUAUAGCAAGAUAUGGAGGAUAUGAACAGAAAAUGGAGUUAAGCAACACCCGGAAAAACCAUACACGGUUUCAUGAAGUGGCCCUGACGUGCAAGUGAUGUGAUGCUUCAAUUGAUCGGCUCAAAAGGUCGACAGAUCGCUAAGAGAAACGGAUAUAAAUUGUGGAAGAUGCAUUUAACCCUGCACUGGGAUGCCGGGCUUAAGAGCAAAUUCAAAGUAGAGGUAACUAUACUCCCUCCGUCCACAAAUACACACAUUAAUUUUUAGUUUAUCUAGCAUAGAUAAAAUUAAGAUUGAGUAAAAGAAACUUUGAUGCCUCUCAAUAAACGAGGGAUGGUGGGGGGGGGGGGAAUUAUAGUUGGGAGUAGGAUAGAGCAGAUGCACUUGAUAGUGCAGUAGCAAGGGGUGUGUGGUUUCAACCUGAGGUCCUGUGUUCAAUCCCUAACACGUCCACAAUUUCUUCUUAAAAAAUGCUUGUAGGGACAUUUUUUAUUAGGAUAGGAGGAAAUUUGAACCAAAGAUGAUCGAUGGAUUAAGUGGUACUGAAUGUUUAUAUUCGGAUGGAUUUCAAAUAGUUGGAAUAUUUACAUGUGUGGAAAGAAGGGGCACUGGCAUUUCUUUUAUGUUGAAUGAUUGAAUAGAUGAAAAAAUAGUAAUAAAUAUUGUUCAAGGGUAUAAAUGAAUGAAUUAAAUAUUAUAAAGUUGAAAGAUACAUUUAAACAAUUUUGUAAUAUAUAUGUAUAUAUAAAAAGUAGAUAUAUGUAGUAAGUGAUAAAAUCUCUAUACUUUUUUGAGGAAUGGAAUGAUGGAUGAAUGCGCACGUAUGUGUAGCUAACUUUUUAUAUCUGAAUUUAUUUCUAAUUCUAUUUUCAAUUUUAUAAUAUCUAAUUCAUUUGCUUAUACCCUCAAAUAAUUUACUAUAAAUAUUUCAUCUAUUUAGUCAUUCAGCCUAAAAAAAUCAUUCUUCGUGAAAAAAAAAAGCAUUUCAAGUAUUUUCUUUAAUUUAUCUAUGAAUAUAAUAUUCCUAGAGUAUUUAUUUGUCACAUCAAUUACUUCUCACAUAAAUUUCUUCACAUCUUACCUCAAUCACCCUUCCUCUCCUAACCAUCCUUUAUUUAAUGAUGGGCCUAAAAUACUUUCUAAUCUACCUUAA